rnacentral:rRNA from 1 species
AGAGUUUGAUCAUGGCUCAGAACGAACGCUGGCGGCGCGCCUAAUACAUGCAAGUCGAGCGAGAAGACGUAGCAAUACGUUUGUAAAGCGGCGAACGGGUGAGGAAUACAUGGGUAACCUACCCUCGAGUGGGGAAUAACUAGCCGAAAGGUUAGCUAAUACCGCGUACGCUUCUUGGACUUCGGUUCAGGGAGGAAAGUGAUACCGUGGGUAUCGCGCUCUUGGAUGGGCUCAUGUCCUAUCAGCUUGUUGGUGAGGUAACGGCUCACCAAGGCUUCGACGGGUAGCUGGUCUGAGAGGACGAUCAGCCACACUGGCACUGCGACACGGGCCAGACUCCUACGGGAGGCAGCAGUAAGGAAUAUUGCGCAAUGGGCGAAAGCCUGACGCAGCGACGCCGCGUGGGGGAUGAAGGUCUUCGGAUUGUAAACCCCUUUCGGGAGGGAAGAUGGAAUGGGGUAACCCAUUCGGACGGUACCUCCAGAAGCAGCCACGGCUAACUUCGUGCCAGCAGCCGCGGUAAUACGAAGGUGGCAAGCGUUGUUCGGAUUUACUGGGCGUACAGGGAGCGUAGGCGGUUCGGUAAGCCCUCUGUGAAAUCUCCAGGCUUAACCUGGAACAGUCGGAGGGGACUGCCGGGCUAGAGGACGGGAGAGGAGCGCGGAAUUCCCGGUGUAGCGGUGAAAUGCGUAGAGAUCGGGAGGAAGGCCGGUGGCGAAGGCGGCGCUCUGGAACGUUUCUGACGCUGAGGCUCGAAAGCGUGGGGAGCAAACAGGAUUAGAUACCCUAGUAGUCC